rnacentral:rRNA from 1 species
GUCGAACGAAGGAUUGUGAGGAAACGUAAGUAGAGACACAAUGACUGAGUGGCGGACGGGUGAGUAACGCGUAGGGAACCUGGCCCUUACAGGGGGAUAACAGAUGGAAACAACUGCUAAUACCGCAUAAGCGCACGGCCCCGCAUGAGGGAGUGUGAAAAACUACGGUGGUAAGGGACGGCCCUGCGUCCGAUUAGCUAGUUGGUAUGGUAAAGGCAUACCAAGGCAACGAUCGGUAGCCGGCCUGAGAGGGUGAACGGCCACAUUGGGACUGAGACACGGCCCAAACUCCUACGGGAGGCAGCAGUGGGGGAUAUUGCACAAUGGGGGGAACCCUGAUGCGGGGGCGGAGAAAAAAAAGAGGAAGCGCUUCGGCGUCUCCCGCCCUAUCAGUGGGGAAGAAAAGAGACGGUACCCAAAGAAGAAGCACCGGCUAAAUACGUGCCAGCAGCCGCGGUAAUACGUAUGGUGCAAGCGUUAUCCGGAAUGACUGGGUGUAAAGGGAGCGUAGACGGUUGUUCAAGUCUGAUGUGAAAGCCCUCGGCUUAACUGGGGGAGUGCAUUGGAAACUGAAGGACUAGAGUAUCGGAGAGGCAAGUGGAAUUCCUAGUGUAGCGGU